GGUGUUUGGAAGUGGGCCUUUGGAAGGCAGUUAGGCCAAGAGGGCUAUUAUGCACAGAAGGAUUAACAUCAGAAGUUGAAUAAUGGGAAUUCCCUGGCAGUCCAGUGGUUAUGACUACCAUGGGCCCAGGGUUCAAUCCCUACUCAGGGAACUAAGAUCCCACAAGCUCCUUGGUGCACCCCCUCAAAAUUUUUUUUUAUUAAUGUAAUUAAGCACAUUAACCAAUUAAAGGAGAAGAAAGAGUUACUACCUUGAUAAAUGCAAAAAAUAAUAAAAGUCAACCAUUUAAGAAAAAGAAGAGGAAUGAAAAAAGAAUGGAUGAAUGGAAGAGAGGGAAAAAAUAUAAACCUAAAAUGCGUUUCAGUAUCAUCAGCCUGAAUGAAGACAAAGAAGAUCCAAAAAGAUAUAAAAUAUCCACCAUUAAGAAGACUUAGUAUGAUUCAUUGCAUUUAAGUUCAAAUAACUGCUUUCAGAAAAGGAUAAAUGGAGAAGGGCUGAUUUAAUAAGCCCUCUCAUGAUAACAGCCCUGAGAGCUGUUGUCAAUUACCUAUGUUCCUCUGGUUAAGGAAAAAAAUAAAAAAGCAAAAAGUGUCUUAACUUGCAUUCCUCAAAAUAUACUGUCUGCAUCCACCCCAUUCUGAAACAGCCAGAUAAAAUAAAUGGAACAUUGGUAAAUUAAAAGUCCAGAGAAGAGUGAUAAGAGCCAAAUCAGAUAAAGAACCUAUGAUAUUUUAGCCAGGAGAAGCAAAGAUGCACAGGGGAACCAAAGUGGAAGCUUUCUUUCAAUGUUUAAAGGUUGGGUGGGGGAAAGAAAGUGAAGUCGCUCAGUCGUGUCUGACUCUUUGCGACCCCUUGGACUGUAGCCUAUCAGGCUCCUCCGUCCAUGGGAUUUUCCAGGCAAGAGUGCUGGAGUGGAUUGCCAUUUCCUUCUCCAGGGGAUCUUCCUCACCCAGGAAUCAAACCCGGGUCUCUCACAUUGCAGGCAGAUGCUUUUACCGUCUGAGCCACCAGGAAGACAUGUUCAAAUACCCAUGAGACCAGACAGAAUGUUCAAAUAAUGACAUGAACUUCGAUGGUGUGGACUUUGUGUAAUAUAUGUAUAUAUAUCAUGUAAAAAAACACAGUUCAACUCUAAUUGUUUUUUGCUAUUCAAAAUGCCAGCCCAGCAUUGAUGGAAUGUCACUUCUUUUUUUUAAAGAAAAGCUGAAAAUAUGGAUAUCACAAGAAAUCUAGAUUUUUUUAAAAAAACAUAAGAAAUCUAGAUUUUUUUUAAAUGUCAAAGUUAAGUUUUAUUUAAAUCAAACCUAAAAAAUAAACAUUCUGGAACAAACUUCUAUGCAGGAGUGUGGUUUCCCCCACAUCACCAAUGAGCAGUUCUCUGAGAGCACCUGAGUAUCCUACAAUUCAACUCUGACACUGUUUACCCAGAGACAGCAUCAAAUCCCACAAGCUGAGGGCUCAGUCCCACAAAAAAGCUCUCCCCUUCAAAUGCCAGUCUCAAGUCCACGUUGUUACCUGUACUUCUGACCAACCAGCUAUAAACCAGACUCCCACAACCCUCUCCUUGGAUUCAAUUUGCUAGACCAGCUCACAGAACUUAGAAAACCAAUUUACUCACCAGAAGGAGUGGCUUUUUACUGAAGAUAUUAAAACAUAGGAGCCAGCAGCCAGAUGAAGAGAUUC
ensembl:lncRNA